GGGAUGCGAUAUUGCUCCUGAAGCCGAUCGACAUUCGGCCCCGAAAGCGAGGAGGCCUCAUCUUCCGGAGCCGAUCGGGAGUCGUCGGUCGGGUUCCCCGACCGAGCUCUCUGAGUCGGAUUCCUGGGCAUUGCACCGGAACCGAAUGAAGAAGAAGAAGGAGGAGAAAAAGAGAAGAAGAGGAAGAAGAAGAAGAUGGG
rnacentral:lncRNA from 1 species